CUGCUUUCUUAAAAUGCUGAUUGGCACAUUAUCUGUCCUAUGGAAGCCUAUUAUGCAAUGGCUACAAACAGUAAAGAGCACCUUGGUAGUGUCCAGAGCCUGACAACUGUUUGCUCUGUCCUAAGGGACCUUCGGAGAAAAUC